UAUUCUUUUUAUUUUUUAUUGAAAGAAAAAGCUAAUAGCAUUAAAACAUCAUAGAUCGGGUUGAAAUAUAGAUCCGGUAAUCUUUAGUCGUCGAGCAUUGGGGAUGGAGUGGGAAUGAAGGAUGAACUGGAUCGGAGUUGCAGAUCAAGUUUUCGCCGGUGAGGGAGGGCCCAGAUCCGAAAUAGGUGAUAUCGGGUGAUAGGUGCUUUGCCGUGGGAUCGGAGAUCUCUUGUGAUAUGAGGUUAGAUCGAAUCUCCGGCCGAUUGUUGGUGAUCGGCAACUGGUGGCUGAUUGGUGGAGUUCCUCUGCAGCUGGUCUGGUUUUUCUCCCAACCAUAUGGGGAAUCUUGGACGUGAAAAAAAGCCAGAGUUAGUGCACGAGAAGGUUGCAACGCGACAAUCUUGGUGAAGGUGGAUAAAUCUGGAAAAUGGGUAGUUACAAGAUUUGUAAAGGAUCAUAAUCAUCCUCUCAUUGUUACUGCCAAUGAGUUUAGCACAGCGGGUUUGGUUUGUGAAUCAUUGGAAAUUAACAAAAUUUGGAAUCAAACUCCAUCACCCGUGAAUGUACGGUAUAUGUUAGAGUUGGUUUCUGUUGAUUAAAGAAAUUUUAUUUAGCAAAAACAAUGGUACGAUUCGAAUUGUGGCAUUUUUGUUUGAAAUCAAUUGUAGGUUGAAAUUGAGGGUCAUUAUAAUUCUUUUAUC